GACGAACGCUGGCGGCGUGCCUAACACAUGCAAGUCGAACGGUGAUGCUCCAGCUUGCUGGAGUGGAUCAGUGGCGAACGGGUGAGUAACACGUGAGCAACCUGCCCCAGACUCUGGAAUAAGCGCUGGAAACGGCGUCUAAUACUGGAUACGAAACUGGCCCGCAUGGGCAUGGUUUGGAAAGUUUUUCGGUUUGGGAUGGGCUCGCGGCCUAUCAGCUUGUUGGUGAGGUAAUGGCUCACCAAGGCGACGACGGGUAGCCGGCCUGAGAGGGCGACCGGCCACACUGGGACUGAGACACGGCCCAGACUCCUACGGGAGGCAGCAGUGGGGAAUAUUGCACAAUGGGCGAAAGCCUGAUGCAGCGACGCCGCGUGAGGGAUGACGGCCUUCGGGUUGUAAACCUCUUUCAGCAGGGAAGAAGCGAAAGUGACGGUACCUGCAGAAGAAGCACCGGCUAACUACGUG
rnacentral:rRNA from 1 species